rnacentral:lncRNA from 1 species
GCUGGGGGGUUCAAUUAAAUUUUUUAUGAAAAUCACAACCAGUGGUUACCUCGGUACUACAAAGAUCUACGUUUGAAGAUGUGCCUUAUUACGAUGUGCCCUAUUCACAAUAUCAAUCUUCUCCAACUACCUAUAGCCCAUCAUUUGAAGAGAAAGUUCUGCAAAUAUUAGACACGAUAGAAAGCACAAAUUAGAUCUUUCACUCCU